UGGCGCCUUUGCUGCUUGGCGGGUUGUCCAGGUAACCGCGGGAGUUGUCUCGGUCAGCGAGCAUCCGAGACCUGUGUGCGUCAUGCUGUUGAAGCACCUGAGGACCCUGCUGAGCCCUCAGGAUGGAGCUGCGAAGGUGACUUGUAUGGCCUGGUCCCAGAACAACGCUAAAUAUGCUGUCUGCACAGUGGACCGAGUGGUAUUGCUGUAAGAUGAGCAUGGGGAGCAGGAGAGACAAGUUCUCCACCAAGCCAGCUGACAUGAAGUAUGGCAGGAAGAGCUACAUGGUAAAGGGCAUGACUUUCUCUCCUGAUUCCACUAAAAUUGCCAUUGGACAGACUGACAACAUCAUCUAUGCCUACAAGAUUGGAGAAGAUUGGGGUGACAGAAGGUCAUCUGUAACAAGUUCAUCCAGACAGUAAAGUUCAGAGAGUGCAGUCACCUGUCUACAGUGGCCUGCAGAGUACAUUAUUGUCUUCGGACUGGCUGAAGGCAAGGUAACGGAGGAG